UCCUGGCUCAGAUAAACGCUGGCGGCGUGCCUAACACAUGCAAGUCGCACGAGAAAGCCUAAACUUCGGUUGGGCGAGUAAAGUGGCGCACGGGUGAGUAACGCGUAGGCAACCUACCCUUGUGUUCGGGAUAACAGGGCGAAAGCCUUGCUAAUACCGGAUCCGACCCCGGAGCGGGAGCUUCGGGGUGAAAGCCGGCCUCUCUAUAGAAGCUGGUGCACGAGGAUGGGCCUGCGUCCUAUCAGCUAGUUGGUAAGGUAACGGCUUACCAAGGCGACGACGGGUAGCUGGUCUGAGAGGAUGAUCAGCCACACUGGCACUGGAACACGGGCCAGACUCCUACGGGAGGCAGCAGUGAGGAAUUUUGCGCAAUGGCCGCAAGGCUGACGCAGCAACGCCGCGUGGGUGAAGAAGGCCUUCGGGUCGUAAAGCCCUGUCGGGUGGGAAGAACCGCACGGAGGCGAAUAGUCUUCGUGCCUGACGGUACCACCAAAGGAAGCACCGGCUAACUCCGUGCCAGCAGCCGCGGUAA
rnacentral:rRNA from 1 species